rnacentral:rRNA from 1 species
CCUACGGGAGGCUGUAGUGAGGAAUAUUGGUCAAUGGACGAGAGUCUGAACCAGCCAAGUAGCGUGAAGGAUGACUGCCCUAUGGGUUGUAAACUUCUUUUAUAUGGGAAUAAAACGUUCCACGUGUGGGAUUUUGUAUGUACCAUAUGAAUAAGGAUCGGCUAACUCCGUGCCAGCAGCCGCGGUAAUACGGAGGAUCCGAGCGUUAUCCGGAUUUAUUGGGUUUAAAGGGAGCGUAGGUGGAUUGUUAAGUCAGUUGUGAAAGUUUGCGGCUCAACCGUAAAAUUGCAGUUGAAACUGGCAGUCUUGAGUACAGUAGAGGUGGGCGGAAUUCGUGGUGUAGCGGUGAAAUGCUUAGAUAUCACGAAGAACUCCGAUUGCGAAGGCAGUUCACUGGACUGCAACUGACACUGAGGCUCGAAAGUGUGGGUAUCAAACAGGAUUAGAUACCCGUGUAGUC